rnacentral:tRNA from 3 species
GGCCGAAUGGUGUAAAGGUAGCACAACAGAUUCUGGCUCUGUCGGUGAGGGUUCGAAUCCUUCUUCGGCUGCCA